rnacentral:rRNA from 1 species
UACGUAGGGGGCUAGCGUUGUCCGGAAUCAUUGGGCGUAAAGCGCGUGUAGGCGGUCCGGUAAGUCCGCUGUGAAAGUCGGGGGCUCAACCCUCGGAUGCCGGUGGAUACUGUCGGGCUUGAGUACGGAAGAGGCGAGUGGAAUUCCUGGUGUAGCGGUGAAAUGCGCAGAUAUCAGGAGGAACACCAAUGGCGAAGGCAGCUUGCUGGGACGGUACUGACGCUGAGACGCGAAAGCGUGGGGAGCAAACAGG